UACGGAGGGUGCAAGCGUUGUUCGGAAUCAUUGGGCGUAAAGCGCGCGCAGGCGGUCUGCUAAGUCUGGUGUGAAAUCCCGGGGCUCAACCCCGGACGUGCAUUGGAAACUGGUAGACUUGAGUCCGAGAGAGGUUAGUGGAAUUCCUGGUGUAGGGGUGAAAUCCGUAGAGAUCAGGAGGAACACCAGUGGCGAAGGCGACUGACUGGAUCGGAACUGACGCUGAGGCGCGAAAGCGUGGGGAGCGAACAGG
rnacentral:misc_RNA from 1 species